GACGAACGCUGGCGGCGUGCCUAAUACAUGCAAGUCGAGCGGACUUUCAAGAAGCUUGCUUUUUGAAAGUUAGCGGCGGACGGGUGAGUAACACGUGGGCAACCUGCCUGCAAGACGGGGAUAACUCCGGGAAACCGGGGCUAAUACCGGAUAAUAUCUUCCUUCGCAUGAAGGAAGGUUGAAAGGCGGCGCAAGCUGCCGCUUGCAGAUGGUCCCGCGGCGCAUUAGCUAGUUGGUGAGGUAACGGCUCACCAAGGCGACGAUGCGUAGCCGACCUGAGAGGGUGAUCGGCCACACUGGGACUGAGACACGGCCCAGACUCCUACGGGAGGCAGCAGUAGGGAAUCUUCCGCAAUGGACGAAAGUCUGACGGAGCAACGCCGCGUGAGCGAAGAAGGUCUUCGGAUCGUAAAGCUCUGUUGUCAGGGAAGAACAAGUACCGUUCGAACAGGGCGGUACCUUGACGGUACCUGACCAGAAAGCCACGGCUAACUACGUG
rnacentral:rRNA from 1 species